GACUGAACGCUGGCGGCGUGCCUCAAACAUGCAAGUCGAGCGAGGCUAUGAGUUACCGCAAGGUAAGGCAUAGCCUAGCGGGCGAACGGGUGAGUAACACGUGGGUAACCUACCUGGAAGACAGGGAUAACGAUUCGAAAGGGUCGCUAAUACCUGAUAAUAUCCAUCUGCCGGAUGGCGGAGUGAAGAAAGGGGAAACCCGCUUUCAGAUGGGCCCGCGUCCCAUCAGCUAGUUGGUAAGGUAAAGGCUUACCAAGGCGACGACGGGUAGCCGGUCUGAGAGGAUGUACGGCCACACUGGGACUGAGAUACGGCCCAGACUCCUACGGGAGGCAGCAGUUGGGAAUCUUAGGCAAUGGACGAAAGUCUGACCUAGCGACGCCGCGUGAGGGAAGAAGGCCUUCGGGUUGUAAACCUCUGUCAUGGGGGAAGAAGGAAGUGACGGUACCCCAAGAGGAAGCCCCUGCUAACUACGUG
rnacentral:rRNA from 1 species